CGCUGGCGGCGUGCCUAAUACAUGCAAGUCGAGCGAACGGACGAGAAGCUUGCUUCUCUGAUGUUAGCGGCGGACGGGUGAGUAACACGUGGAUAACCUACCUAUAAGACUGGGAUAACUUCGGGAAACCGGAGCUAAUACCGGAUAAUAUUUUGAACCGCAUGGUUCAAAAGUGAAAGACGGUCUUGCUGUCACUUAUAGAUGGAUCCGCGCUGCAUUAGCUAGUUGGUAAGGUAACGGCUUACCAAGGCAACGAUGCAUAGCCGACCUGAGAGGGUGAUCGGCCACACUGGAACUGAGACACGGUCCAGACUCCUACGGGAGGCAGCAGUAGGGAAUCUUCCGCAAUGGGCGAAAGCCUGACGGAGCAACGCCGCGUGAGUGAUGAAGGUCUUCGGAUCGUAAAACUCUGUUAUUAGGGAAGAACAUAUGUGUAAGUAACUGUGCACAUCUUGACGGUACCUAAUCAGAAAGCCACGGCUAACUACGUGCCAGCAGCCGCGGUAAUACGUAGGUGGCAAGCGUUAUCCGGAAUUAUUGGGCGUAAAGCGCGCGUAGGCGGUUUUUUAAGUCUGAUGUGAAAGCCCACGGCUCAACCGUGGAGGGUCAUUGGAAACUGGAAAACUUGAGUGCAGAAGAGGAAAGUGGAAUUCCAUGUGUAGCGGUGAAAUGCGCAGAGAUAUGGAGGAACACCAGUGGCGAAGGCGACUUUCUGGUCUGUAACUGACGCUGAUGUGCGAAAGCGUGGGGAUCAAACA
rnacentral:rRNA from 1 species